AUACUCUGGUUUCUCUCCAGAUCAUAUAAGUCGUUCAUCAUUUACUAAAGAUUUCCAUGGACAGACACAAUUUUAAGUCUUAACUCAAUUUUUGAGGUCUUGGAUCUUUAGGGC
rnacentral:snRNA from 1 species